rnacentral:rRNA from 1 species
AUGGACAUGAAGCGGGCGCGGAGCCCCCGGGCUCCGGCCGACGGCGGCGACGACGACAAGAGGCGGGCUGCCAGCGCCAAGUGGGGCGGCGCCGUCCGGCCCAAGAUGGUGCUGGUCGGGUUCCUCGUCACCCUGGCCCUCCUCGCCUUCACCUUCGGCGGCCGCCCGGUCGCCCUCCCCUCCGCCCCCUCCUCGCCGUCCUCCGUCCCCAAGGCCGGCGGCCGCCACGUCGUCGCCGGCGCCGGCGGCAAAAGCGCAACGCCCAAAAAGAACGUAAUCCCUCCGAAGAACGUAACCGCGCCAGCAGCCACAACUCCGUCGCCGUCGCAGGACAAGCUCCUGGGAGGGCUACUCUCGGCGGCGUUCGACGAGUCCACCUGCCAGAGCCGAUACAAGUCGUCCCUGUACCGUAAGCCGUCGCCGUUCCCGCUCUCCCCGUACCUGGUGAAGAAGCUGCGCAAGUACGAGGCGUACCACAAGAAGUGCGGCCCGGGCACGCAGCGGUACCGGACGGCCGUCGAGCAGCUCCAGGCCGGGCGCAACGCCGACAGCGCCGAGUGCAGGUACGUGGUGUGGUUCCCCUGCAACGGCCUCGGCAACCGCAUGCUCACCAUCGCCUCCACCUUCCUCUACGCGCUGCUCUCCGGCCGGGUCAUGCUCCUCAACGUGCCGCCGGAGCAGGAGGGCCUCUUCUGCGACCCCUUCCCGGCCACCUCCUGGGUGCUCCCCGGCGGCUUCCCCGAGGGCAACCCCAUGAAGCUCAACGUCGGCGCGCCCGAGAGCUACGUCAACAUGCUCAACAACGGCGUCAUCCGGCACGACACGCCGGCGGCGUCGCUGCCGGCGCACGUGUACCUCCACGUCGAGCAGACCCGGUUGCGGCUGUCGGACAACAUCUUCUGCGACGACGACCAGCGGCUGCUCCGCAAGUUCACCUGGAUGAUCCUCAAGUCCGACAGCUACUUCGCGCCGGCGCUCUUCCUCACGCCCAUGUACGAGAAGGAGCUGGCGCGGAUGUUCCCGCAGAGGGAGGCCGUGUUCCACCACCUCGGCCGCUACCUCUUCCACCCGACCGACCGGGUGUGGGGGAUCGUGCGGCGCUACUACGAGGCCUACCUCGCCCGCGUGGACGAGAAGAUCGGCUUCCAGAUCAGGAUCUUCCCGGAGAAGCCGGUCAAGUUUGAGAACAUGUACGACCAGCUCACCAGGUGCAUCAGGGAGCAGCGCCUGCUGCCGGAGCUCGGCGACCCGGCGUCCCCGGCGAACGCGACCGGCGACGACGGGAAGGUGAAGGCCGUGCUGAUCGCGUCGCUCUACUCGGGCUACUACGACAAGAUCCGGGGCCUCUACUACGAGAGCCCCACCAAGACGGGGGAGAUCGUGGCGGUGUACCAGCCGAGCCACGAGGAGAAGCAGGAGUACGCGUCCAACGAGCACAACCAGAAGGCGCUGGCCGAGAUCUACCUCCUCAGCUACUGCGACAAGAUCGCCAUGAGCGCCUGGUCCACCUUCGGCUACGUCGCCUACGGCUUCGCCGGCGUCAAGCCGUGGAUCCUGCUCCGCCCCGACUGGAACAAGGAGGUGUCCGACGUCGCGUGCGUCCGCUCCACGUCCGUCGAGCCGUGCCUGCACUCGCCGCCGAUCCUCGGGUGCCGGGCCAAGAAGGAGGUGGACGUGGCCCGCGUCAAGCCCUACGUCCGGCACUGCGAGGACGUCGGCUUCGGCCUCAAGCUCUUCGAUAGCUAA